rnacentral:rRNA from 1 species
ACUGGGCGUAAAGAGCUCGUAGGUGGCUUGUCGCGUUGUUCGUGAAAUCUCACGGCUUAACUGUGAGCGUGCGGGCGAUACGGGCAGACUUGAGUACUGCAGGGGAGACUGGAAUUCCUGGUGUAGCGGUGGAAUGCGCAGAUAUCAGGAGGAACACCGGUGGCGAAGGCGGGUCUCCGGGCAGUAACUGACGCUGAGGAGCGAAAGCGUGGGGAGCGAACAGGAUUAGAUACCCUGGUAGUCCACGCCGUAAACGGUGGGUACUAGGUGUGGGUUUCCUUCCUUGGGAUCCGUGCCGUAGCUAACGCAUUAAGUACCCCGCCUGGGGAGUACGGCCGCAAGGCUAAAACUCAAAGAAAUUGACGGGGGCCCGCACAAGCGGCGGAGCAUGUGGAUUAAUUCGAUGCAACGCGAAGAACCUUACCUGGGUUUGACAUGCACAGGACGCCGGCAGAGAUGUCGGUUCCCUUGUGGCCUGUGUGCAGGUGGUGCAUGGCUGUCGUCAGCUCGUGUCGUGAGAUGUUGGGUUAAGUCCCGCAACGAGCGCAACCCUUGUCUCAUGUUGCCAGCGGGUAAUGCCGGGGACUCGUGAGAGACUGCCGGGGUCAACUCGGAGGAAGGUGGGGAUGACGUCAAGUCAUCAUGCCCCUUAUGUCCAGGGCUUCACACAUGCUACAAUGGCCGGUACAAAGGGCUGCGAUGCCGCGAGGUUAAGCGAAUCCUUUUAAAGCCGGUCUCAGUUCGGAUCGGGGUCUGCAACUCGACCCCGUGAAGUCGGAGUCGCUAGUAAUCGCAGAUC